rnacentral:rRNA from 1 species
AGAGGGGUGCAAGCGUUAAUCGGGAAUUACUGGGCGUAAAGGGCGCGUAGGCGGAUAUUUAAGUUAGAUGUGAAAUCCCUGGGGCUUAACCUAGGAACUGCAUUUAAAACUGGGUAUCUAGAGUAUUGUAGAGGGUAGUGGAAUUUCCGGUGUAGCGGUGAAAUGCGUAGAGAUCGGAAGGAACACCAGUGGCGAAGGCGGCUACCUGGACAAAUACUGACGCUGAGGCGCGAAAGCGUGGGGAGCAAACAGGAUUAGAUACCCUGGUAGUCCACGCUGUAAACGAUGAGAACUAGAUGUUGGCCAGCUUGACUGGUUAGUGUCGCAGCUAACGCGAUAAGUUCUCCGCCUGGGAAGUACGGCCGCAAGGCUA